UAAAACCAGCACCUCAAGUGGUCAGGAUGAUUAUUGGGCCUAAAGCAUCCGUAGCCUGUUCUGUAAGUUUUCGGUUAAAUCUAUGCGCUCAACGUAUAGGCUGCCGAAAAUACUGCAGAACUAGGGAGUGGGAGAGGUAGACGGUACUCGGUAGGAAGGGGUAAAAUCCUUUGAUCUAUUGAUGACCACCUGUGGCGAAGGCGGUCUACCAGAACACGUUCGACGGUGAGGGAUGAAAGCUGGGGGAGCAAACCGGAUUAGAUACCCGGGUAGUCCCAGCUGUAAACGAUGCAAACUCGAUGAUGCGUUGGCUUAUUGCUAGCGCAGUGUCGCAGGGAAGCCGUUAAGUUUGCCGCCUGGGAAGUACGUACGCAAGUAUG
rnacentral:rRNA from 2 species